ACUGCCCGUAAUGGACCGGUUCAUCAACCUAAUUGGCUGGUAAACUAUUGACUACUUUGCUAAGACAUUUCAAUUUAAUUUUGUUAACUUGCAACAAGAGGACACCAUUUAUGAGUUAAAAAUCUGAGUGAAGCCAUUGGAAUCAGAAGAUCAAGAUGAAAAGAAUGGCUAACAGUCUUUUCCUUGCAAUACUGCAUGGUGCCUCUGCUCUCGUUGUUCUAGUUCUUGCACAGGAUCAAUCAGGUUUCAUAAGCAUAGACUGCGGGAUACCAGAAGAGUCAAGCUACAAAGAUGGCACAACAGUGCAUUGAUUAGUUUCUGAUGCAAACUCAUAGACACUGGUGAAAAUAAGAGUAUAUCCCUUCAAUAUAGGAGUUCCCUUACACGGCAGUUCUUGACUGUCAGGAGCUUCCCUGAAGGAACCAAAAAUUGUACACCCUACGGCCCAGAAGGGCAAAAUGAAAACUAUUUGAUCCGAGCGCAGUUCAUGUAUGGAAACUAUGAUACCAAUGGCCAACCGCCAGAAUUUGACUUGUAUCUUGGCGUUGACAGAUGAAUUCGGUGAAAUUGGAGGAUGCAUCCUCUAUCAUUACCAUGGAGAUGAACAUGUUCCCUCAUCAGAUUAUAUAUAUUUUUGUCUUGUAACACAUCUGGGACACCUUUCAUAUCAGCAUUAGAGCUAAGGCUUCUGAACAAUAUACUUAUGAACUAAAUCCGGAUCACUUGAACUAUAUGACCGAGUAGAUUUUGGUUCAACCAAAAUGGAGAAGUCAGGUUCCCUGAUGAUGUUUACGACCGAAUCUGGAACCCAUUUAGUUCCAAGUUCUGGGAUGUUUGAAUACUAGUUCAAAGAUAGACUCUGAUGUUCACAAUGGCUACCAACCAGCAUCAACUGUCAUGAGCACUGCAGUGACCACACAAAAUGGUAGUGAUGUCCUCACAUUCAUUGGAAACUAAUGAUCUUAACUCCCAAUUUUAUAUCUACAUGCACUUUGCUGAAGUCCAAGAUCUUCAACCAAAUAUAAGAAUUUGAUAUUUAUCUGAAUGGACAAUUAUGGUUUGACCCCUUGUUCCCCUUACUUGAUUACAACAACAAUAUACAGCUAGGAGCCAUGAAUGGGAGAAGUUUCAACGUCUCCAUCAAUCCGACAAAAAAUUCCACUCUUCCCCCGAUUAUCAAUGCAUUGCCUAUAUACAGUAAAAGAUCUACGAUCACAAUCGAACC